ACUGGUUUGGCUCAGUGGAUAGAGCAUUGGCCUGUAGACCCAAGGGUCCCAGGUUCGAUUCCAGUUAUGGGUG
rnacentral:tRNA from 1 species